GACGAACGCUGGCGGCGUGCCUAAUACAUGCAAGUCGAGCGGACCGCAUCUGCGGUCAGCGGCGGACGGGUGAGUAACACGUGGGCAACCUGCCUGUAAGACUGGGAUAACUCCGGGAAACCGGAGCUAAUACCGGAUACUAUGUCAAACCGCAUGGUUUGACAUUCAAAGACGGUUUCGGCUGUCACUUACAGAUGGGCCCGCGGCGCAUUAGCUGGUUGGUGAGGUAAUGGCUCACCAAGGCGACGAUGCGUAGCCGACCUGAGAGGGUGAUCGGCCACACUGGGACUGAGACACGGCCCAGACUCCUACGGGAGGCAGCAGUAGGGAAUCUUCCGCAAUGGACGAAAGUCUGACGGAGCAACGCCGCGUGAGUGAUGAAGGUUUUCGGAUCGUAAAGUUCUGUUGUAAGGGAAGAACAAGUGCCGCAGGCAAUGGCGGCACCUUGACGGUACCUUGCGAGAAAGCCACGGCUAACUACGUGCCAGCCGCCGCCGUAAAAC
rnacentral:rRNA from 1 species